rnacentral:rRNA from 1 species
GAUGAACGCUGGCAGCGUGCCUAAUACAUGCAAGUCGAACGCUGGAGAUCUAGCUUGCUAGAUCGAAGGAGUGGCGAACGGGCGAGUAAUACAUAAGCAACCUACCCACGAAGACUGGGAUAAUCUCUGGAAACGGGGACUAAUACCGGAUAGGUAAUCGGAAGGCAUCUUCUGGUUAUUAAAGGUUAAAAACACUGGUGGAUGGGCUUAUGGCGCAUUAGUUAGUUGGUGAGGUAACGGCCCACCAAGACGAUGAUGCGUAGCCGGCCUGAGAGGGUGAACGGCCACAUUGGGACUGAGACACGGCCCAGACUCCUACGGGAGGCAGCAGUAGGGAAUUUUCGGCAAUGGGGGCAACCCUGACCGAGCAACGCCGCGUGAGUGAAGACGGCCUUCGGGUUGUAAAGCUCUGUUGUAAGGGAAGAACGGUAGAUAGAGAAUAUCUAAGUGACGUACCUACCAGAAGCCACG